rnacentral:rRNA from 1 species
CCGAAUGGGGAAACCCAGUGUGAUUCGUCACACUAUCAUUAACUGAAUCCAUAGGUUAAUGAGGCGAACCGGGGGAACUGAAACAUCUAAGUACCCCGAGGAAAAGAAAUCAACCGAGAUUCCCCCAGUAGCGGCGAGCGAACGGGGAGGAGCCCAGAGCCUGAAUCAGCAUGUGUGUUAGUGGAAGCGUCUGGAAAGGCGCGCGAUACAGGGUGACAGCCCCGUACACAAAAGCGCAUGUGCUGUGAGCUCGAUGAGUAGGGCGGGACACGUGGUAUCCUGUCUGAAUAUGGGGGGACCAUCCUCCAAGGCUAAAUACUCCUGACUGACCGAUAGUGAACCAGUACCGUGAGGGAAAGGCGAAAAGAACCCCGGCGAGGGGAGUGAAAAAGAACCUGAAACCGUGUACGUACAAGCAGUGGGAGCACCUUCGGGUGUGACUGCGUACCUUUUGUAUAAUGGGUCAGCGACUUAUAUUCUGUAGCAAGGUUAACCGUAUAGGGGAGCCGGAGGGAAACCGAGUCUUAAUUGGGCGUUAAGUUGCAGGGUAUAGACCCGAAACCCGGUGAUCUAGCCAUGGGCAGGUUGAAGGUUGGGUAACACUAACUGGAGGACCGAACCGACUAAUGUUGAAAAAUUAGCGGAUGACCUGUGGCUGGGGGUGAAAGGCCAAUCAAACCGGGAGAUAGCUGGUUCUCCCCGAAAGCUAUUUAGGUAGCGCCUCGUGAAUUCAUCUCCGGGGGUAGAGCACUGUUUCGGCUAGGGGGCCAUCCCGGCUUACCAACCCGAUGCAAACUGCGAAUACCGGAGAAUGUUAUCACGGGAGACACACGGCGGGUGCUAACGUCCGUCGUGAAGAGGGAAACAACCCAGACCGCCAGCUAAGGUCCCAAAGUCAUGGUUAAGUGGGAAACGAUGUGGGAAGGCCCAGACAGCCAGGAUGUUGGCUUAGAAGCAGCCAUCAUUUAAAGAAAGCGUAAUAGCUCACUGGUCGAGUCGGCCUGCGCGGAAGAUGUAACGGGGCUAAACCAUGCACCGAAGCUGCGGCAGCGA